rnacentral:rRNA from 1 species
CAGCCGCCGCGGUAAUACGUAUGUCGCAAGCGUUAUCCGGAAUUAUUGGGCGUAAAGGGCAUCUAGGCGGUCAAUCAAGUCGAAGGUGAAAACUUGUGGCUCAACCAUAAGCUUGCCUACGAAACUGAUUAACUAGAGUACUGGAGAGGUGGACGGAACUACACGAGUAGAGGUGAAAUUCGUAGAUAUGUGUAGGAAUGCCGAUGAUGAAGAUAGUUCACUGGACAGAAACUGACGCUGAAGUGCGAAAGCUAGGGGAGCAAACAGGAUUAGAUACCCUGGUAGUCCUAGCUGUAAACGAUGAUCACUGGGUGUGGGCAGGAAGACUGUCUGUGCCGAAGCUAACGCGAUAAGUGAUCCGCCUGGGGAGUACGACCGCAAGGUUGAAACUCAAAGGAAUUGACGGGGACCCGCACAAGCGGUGGAGCAUGUGGUUUAAUUCGACGCAACGCGAGGAACCUUACCAGAUCUUGACAUCCUCAGAAUCGAACAGAAGUGUUUGAGUGCCUUCGGGAACUGAGAGACAGGUGGUGCAUGGCC